AUGCUUGUUUGGUUUUAGGUUGGGGUGACCGCGGAGUAAAAAUUAACCUCCACGAAAAAAGGCAUAAAAGCCUUAUCAAAGAAUUACACUUCUAUGAAUUAGUAAACUAAUUUUUGAUGAUCCGAUAUUCGAUCAACGAACCAAGUUACCCUGGGGAUAACAGCGCAAUCCACCUCAAGAGCUCCUAUCGACAAGUGGGUUUACGACCUCGAUGUUGGAUCAGGGUACCCCAGUGGUGCAGCAGCUACUAAAGGUUCGUUUGUUCAACGAUUAAAACCCU
rnacentral:rRNA from 1 species